rnacentral:misc_RNA from 1 species
UUUCCGUAGGUGAACCUGCGGAAGGAUCAUUCCUAAUAAAGUAUUUUAUGGCACUUUUUAAAAAUCCAUAUGCACCUUGUGUGCAAUGUUAGAUCUCGUCUAUCUUGGCGAGAUUUUUAUACAUCAACUCUUUCUUUAACUAAUUUGUCUGAAAAAUAUUAUGAAUAUUUAAUUCAAAAUAUAACUUUCAACAACGGAUCUCUUGGCUCUC